GGGAAUUUUGGACAAUGGGGGCAACCCUGAUCCAGCCAUGCCGCGUGAGUGAAGAAGGCCUUCGGGUUGUAAAGCUCUUUCGGCCGGGAAGAAAUCGCAUGGGUUAAUACCCUGUGCGGAUGACGGUACCGGCAUAAGAAGCACCGGCUAACUACGUGCCAGCAGCCGCGGUAAUACGUAGGGUGCGAGCGUUAAUCGGAAUUACUGGGCGUAAAGCGUGCGCAGGCGGUUUUGUAAGACAGGCGUGAAAUCCCCGGGCUCAACCUGGGAACUGCGCUUGUGACUGCAAGGCUAGAGUAUGGCAGAGGGGGGUGGAAUUCCACGUGUAGCAGUGAAAUGCGUAGAGAUGUGGAGGAACACCAAUGGCGAAGGCAGCCCCCUGGGCCAAUACUGACGCUCAUGCACGAAAGCGUGGGUAGCAAACAGGAU
rnacentral:rRNA from 1 species